rnacentral:lncRNA from 1 species
GUCUGAAAUUGUAUGGCUUUAACCGUUUGUUUUGUUGGUCUCGUUACAGGAACAAAUGUAUAAUAUUGUGAAGUCUGGAAAAGGUCGUUUCUUCCUAACAUCAACUGUAAGGAAUUACUUUCCCUCGGUUGCAUAUGCACCAAGUAGACGUCUGCUGCAUAAAGUCCCUAGACCCGUGGGUGAAUUUAGGGAUUCAAAUGGUAGGCCUUUCCCUAGACUCGUGGUGGUAGAUCCCUUUGCUAGACCAUUGCCUUCUGAGUGGAUAUUGUCGUUGAUUAAGAGUAUGAAACGCCUAAGAAAAGA